rnacentral:rRNA from 1 species
UACAGGGGGUGCAAACGUUGCUCGGAAUUAUUGGGCGUAAAGCGCGCGUAGGCGGCUACUUAAGUCGGACGUGAAAGCCCCAGGCUUAACCUGGGAAUUGCGUUUGAUACUGUUAGGCUAGAGUGUGGAAGGGGCUACUGGAAUUCCGUGUGUAGCGGUGAAAUGCGUAGAUAUACGGAGGAACACCAGCGGCGAAGGCGGGUAGCUGGGCCAACACUGACGCCGAUGCGCGAAAGCUAGGGUAGCAAACGGG